rnacentral:rRNA from 1 species
UUAAGUGACUAAGCGUACAUGGUGGAUGCCUUGGCAGUCAGAGGCGAUGAAGGACGUACUAACCUGCGAUAAGCUGUGAGAAGUCGGUAAGAGACGCUAUUACUCACAGAUUUCCGAAUGGGGAAACCCACCCGAGAUAACUCGGGUAUCUGUUACUGAAUACAUAGGUAACAGAGGCGAACCGGGAGAACUGAAACAUCUAAGUACCCCGAGGAAAAGAAAUCAACCGAGAUUCCCUCAGUAGCGGCGAGCGAACGGGGAUUAGCCCUUAAGCAUCUUGGAAGUUAGUGGAACGGUCCUGGAAAGGCCGGCGAUACAGGGUGAUAGCCCCGUACACGAAAACAACCUUGAUGUGAAAUCGAGUAGGGCGGGACACGUGACAUCCUGUCUGAAUAUGGGGGGACCAUCCUCCAAGGCUAAAUACUCCUGACUGACCGAUAGUGAACCAGUACCGUGAGGGAAAGGCGAAAAGAACCCCUGUGAGGGGAGUGAAAUAGAACCUGAAACCGUGUACGUACAAGCAGUGGGAGCCCUUCGGGGUGACUGCGUACCUUUUGUAUAAUGGGUCAGCGACUUACAUUUUGUAGCGAGGUUAACCGUAUAGGGGAGCCGUAGGGAAACCGAGUCUUAACUGGGCGUCUAGUUGCAAGGUGUAGACCCGAAACCGGGUGAUCUAGCCAUGGGCAGGUUGAAGGUUGAGUAACAUCAACUGGAGGACCGAACCCACUAACGUUGCAAAGUUAGGGGAUGACCUGUGGCUGGGGGUGAAAGGCCAAUCAAACUCGGAGAUAGCUGGUUCUCCCCGAAAGCUAUUUAGGUAGCGCCUCGGACGAAUACUACUGGGGGUAGAGCACUGUUUGGGCUAGGGGGUCAUCCCGACUUACCAACCCCAUGCAAACUCCGAAUACCAGUAAGUAAUAUCCGGGAGACACACGGCGGGUGCUAACGUCCGUCGUGAAGAGGGAAACAACCCAGACCGCCGGCUAAGGUCCCAAAGUUCUGGUUAAGUGGGAAACGAUGUGGGAAGGCUCAGACAGCUAGGAUGUUGGCUUAGAAGCAGCCAUCAUUUAAAGAAAGCGUAAUAGCUCACUAGUCGAGUCGGCCUGCGCGGAAGAUGUAACGGGGCUCAAACCAGGCACCGAAGCCGCGGAUUCACACUUAUGUGUGAGUGGUAGGGGAGCGUUCUGUAAGUCUGCGAAGGUGUAUCGAGAGGUAUGCUGGAGAUAUCAGAAGUGCGAAUGCUGACGUAAGUAACGAUAAAGGGGGUGAAAAGCCUCCUCGCCGGAAGACCAAGGGUUCCUGUCCAACGUUAAUCGGGGCAGGGUGAGUCGACCCCUAAGGCGAGGCCGAAAGGCGUAGUCGAUGGGAAGCAGGUUAAUAUUCCUGCACGACUUGUAAUUGCGAUGGGGGGACGGAGAAGGCUAGGUGGGCCAGGCGACGGUUGUCCUGGUGAAAGUGCGUAGGUGGUGUUUCUAGGCAAAUCCGGAGACACAACACUGAGACACGAGACGAACACACUACGGUGUGGAAGCCAUUGAUGCCCUGCUUCCAGGAAAAGCCUCUAAGCUUCAGAUUACAAGUCAUCGUACCCCAAACCGACACAGGUGGUCGGGUAGAGAAUACCAAGGCGCUUGAGAGAACUCGGGUGAAGGAACUAGGCAAAAUAGAACCGUAACUUCGGGAGAAGGUUCGCUCUUGACAGUGAAGUCCCUUGCGGAUGGAGCAGUUGGGAGUCGCAGUGACCAGAUGGCUGGGACUGUUUAUCAAAAACACAGCACUCUGCAAACACGAAAGUGGACGUAUAGGGUGUGACACCUGCCCGGUGCCGGAAGGUUAAUUGAUGGGGUUAGCGCAAGCGAAGCUCUUGAUCGAAGCCCCGGUAAACGGCGGCCGUAACUAUAACGGUCCUAAGGUAGCGAAAUUCCUUGUCGGGU